rnacentral:lncRNA from 1 species
CAGGCAGGGCUGCAGAGAGGAGUGAGCGGUGAAGGUCGUCCCAGCUUUUCUCCUCUGCUCUCCGUUCACCGGUGCCCAGGGACUCGGAGCCCACUCCCCCGAGAUCGGAGUCUCCCUUUGGGGUCCACCUAGGUACCUGCUGGCCCCUGAGAAGUGGGAUGCGAAUGAUUUCAGUCGGUGAGCAGAGGCAGGAAGCCCAGAAGAGGCAGCGGAGGGGACUGGGGCCGAAGGCCAGCGACCCGCGCCCUUAAGUUCUGCUCCGGGAACGAAGCAAAAACGCCCCAGGUGGAGCGAGGUAAUGGCCGCUCGGUCCACUAGAGGGCGCCAGCACCCUUCGAAACCUCUGUACUUCAGCAUCCAUGGAAUCCUCUUCCAAGCUGUAUGUCAAAAAGCAGGUCUUGUGAAGUGGCACAGGUGGGCUUGGACUCGUCCUUCUCCGGCCACAGCUCCCUGGGUACCAGGGUUACAGCCUCUGCCCCCUCCUCCGCUGCCCUCUGCCCCCAGGCUCUCUGCCUGGCCUCAUCGCCAUGCUGCUCAUGAGUCUCUGCUUGGAUGUAGCCUCCUCUGCUUUGUCCUCUAGGACCAUCCAUAGCUUGGCAUCAUACCGGCCAUUCUCGGUCUUCUGGGAAGACUCAGAGAAAACGACAAAUAUGUAAAUCCUGACUUGGUGUCUGUGGUGAAUUAACUAAUGGGCAACUUGUAACGCUCAGCUGAACUUAAUCAGUGUGGUCUGGGCAUAGAAGAUCCACCUGAGGAUUGUUGCCAAUAGCCAUAAAAAGAGAACUGGAGAGGAAGAUUGUAUGCUGUUGAUUUUCUAGGAGAAGCUUGCUGCGCAUGGUUUUCCUGAUGCGAACUUGACUGUUCUCAUCGGAGGAGGAGCUUGGGGCCUUGCUGUCCCUGGGAAUGGCUGCUGUUCUCAAGGGAGCUCUGAUCUUCACCAAGAGCAUCACUUCCUGGCUCCAAUGUAGAUCCCUCAGCUUGGUGGCACAAAUCCUUCAUCCCACCAGUGUAGGUUUUCUGGCUUCCCCCACUGGCCUUUGGGCCUCCGCGUGCAGAUCCUCAAUAUGGACAAGCAUGAGACAUUGCUGUGGGCUCUAGGCCCCUGGCUGGACUUGUGGAGGGCAUUGCCUUGGACUAUAGGCCUUCAGCUGGACUUACGUGGGACAUUGCUGUGGGAUCCAGGCCCUCGCUUGGAUUCUUUAAGCCUCUAGUGUAUGGUUAAUCUCUGCACUCCUUUGCAUUUGACUUUUUGGGUAAUUAUCAUAAAAUAAUUCUAUAAACUGUGUCCUGUAUUAAAUGUAUUCUCUUUCUAAAACCCUGAAUACAACAGUGUCAUUCCCUGAGAUCAUGCUUUCUGUGGAAAUGGGCAGUACCUUUUGAUUAUAAAGUACUGGGGAAGCAUUUCACAACUCAAAAUAUAUGUGGGAACAAAUGAGACUCUUAAAAGAAACAUGAAUCUCAAGAAUCAAAAAUAUAAUUUAUAAGAG